rnacentral:lncRNA from 1 species
GGUGGGCGUUUGGUUCCUACAGGAGGAACUUUUGGUAGCUUGUAAGUAAUAUAUGAAGGAAUUUGGGAGAGAAAUUGCUUUGGGAGUUGUGCUUCUGCUCCAAAGGUUAUUCCUCUGGGUAUAGAGACCAACUCGACUACUCGAGGCAAGGCCGUAAAGAUUCGAUAAAACCCCCGUUUCGCCAAGCACGGAGGCAUAAGACGAAUGCUAGCUGCGAGCAGUCAAUGGAAAACGGCGCCCCGCUCCGGCGUUCCGCCGCUGGGAACAGCACGGCGCUGCGUGCCCACCGCCACCCGAGCACAGCCGAGCGCGCUGUUGCCAUCGGCGUUGUCGCGAGCGAGCGAGCCAGCCAGCCAACCGGCUGGUGGCCGCCUGGCCGGGAGAAAAGGCGCACGCACCCCUGCCGCGUCCGCGUCCCCGUCCCCGUCCCCGACCCUCAUUUCCAUCGGGAAUCGGGAUUAGCAAGCCGCGGCCAGGAGCCCUUUGGACAAUUUCCCAGCCUAACAUUUUGAGGUAAGUAUCAAAAGUGGGCUAAAUCCCUGAUUGGGCCGAAUAAGUUGCUUCUGGUAGCAGGUAAGGAAUCGACAGAGAUCCCAGAUGUGGUUCAAGAGUUUAGGCCUCUAAGCGCGGAAGAGAUAGCUCUUAGAAGAAGAGAGGUGAAAAAUAGAUUCCUAGCAAUGACAGCGGUAGAGGAACUACGAAUCUGACAGCAGUCUAGAAUCUUUUACCUAUCAAGUACAUUGGUGGCGUCUAAUAGGCGGUCUCAUGCAUUGACACGUAAUCUUGAGACGAUUUAACAGGCGACCUGUACAAUGAGUUAUCCUAUAAGUUGUCUGGUAGUGGUAUAUAAUUCCUUAAUUUGUGCAUAAGAAAAAUAAAAUAUUAUGAGUUGCAUGGCAACAAUAACUCGUACAAUGGUUGUUAAGUUGUCUCGUAGUCUUACAAUUUAGCUCAUGAGGUGGUUAUUUCGCGAAGCAACGACCUCUUUCUCUCUCCUCGCUCUCCAUCCUCCACAUCAUUAAAAAUCCUACGUGGCACUGCAUGAGACGACAUAUGAGACCGUUGACUUAUAGCAAUGUACUUGCUCUAAUAAGAGCGCGCGCCAGGAGGGAAAUUAACCAUCGAAGUCCGACAGGUUGCGGCACCACCAACGACGUUUCCUUUCCCGAGCUUCUCGACACUUUUCUUGCGUGCGCCGGUUCUUUGGACGAAAAUUGGAGACAAAGCUUGGAAACAAAAAUCUUGAAACAAACUUUUGCAACAAACUUGUAUAUAAAAGUUUGGAAGCAAAAUUAAUGAAACACAAAUUUAGGGGAUAAUUUUGUGCAACAAGUUUGUAUGCAACAAAUUUAUGCGACAAAUCUGUACGCACAAAUUUAUACAACAAACAUGUACGCAUAAAUUUAGAGGACAAAUUUGUACGCAUAAAUUUAUAGGACAAAUUUGUGCAACAAAUCAAAUUUAUACGCAACAAAUUUAUUCAAAUAAAUAAAAAAACUCGCUGGGAUCCGCCGUCCACCGCGCGUCACCUCUCACCGCCACUCGCAGGGGAUCCUCUACCGUGAGCCGCUGCUCGUCAGGAUCCGCCCUACUCCAGAUGCCGCCUCCAUCCCACUGCUUGCACAGGCUCCGUCGGAGCUUCUUGUCUCCGAGCCUCCUCUCCGCGCCCCGCCUUGCACCAAAGCUCUCCGUCGAAGCUCCUCAUCUCCGGCCAACUUCUUCACUGCUGCCCCAGCUUGCCCGGACGCUGCCUCCACCGAAAAGGGAAGCGGGAAGGAGUCUGAGCCGCAUACCGGCGGUGAAACAGAAGGAGCAGGGACCUUGUCUAGCGCGGCGACCUCACCCACCGGUGCUUCAUGCUCGUCGCACGGGGCCGGGCUCCUGCCCAUCUUCCCAGAGAGAGAGCAUGCCGGGAUGGUGGGGAUUACUGCCUUGCAGGGAUAAGGCUAGAGGGAAAGGGGGGAUUACUGUCUUGGAGGGAUAAGGCUAGAGGGAAAGGGGAAACGGGGAAGGAAAUUAUGGAAAGAUUGGGCCCUAUGUGCACAUGGUUCGAAAGUUUUGCGGAAGCUCGCGGCGAUCACCAGCGUUGCGUGUUAAAGGGCCAUCUAAUUUAGCCUACCAAUUUUAAGGAUCGGACUCCAUAAGGGCGAGACUGAAAUAUAUAUGAUUUUAAGCUAAAUAUAUUUAGGGUUGAGUUGGAUUGUGAACGAGGCAUGAGAGCCAUGAUCCGUUACCACCCCUACUCUUACCUUGAGGCUGAGGAUGCUAACUUACAAUUAUUC